rnacentral:rRNA from 1 species
UACGUAGGGUGCAAGCGUUGUCCGGAAUUAUUGGGCGUAAAGAGCUCGUAGGCGGUUUGUCGCGUCUGCUGUGAAAACUGGAGGCUCAACCUCCAGCCUGCAGUGGGUACGGGCAGACUAGAGUGCGGUAGGGGAGAUUGGAAUUCCUGGUGUAGCGGUGGAAUGCGCAGAUAUCAGGAGGAACACCGAUGGCGAAGGCAGAUCUCUGGGCCGUUACUGACGCUGAGGAGCGAAAGCGUGGGGAGCGAACAGG